GACAGGGGUGACACUGGGUGACAUCGGGUGGCACUGGGACAGGAGGGGUGACACCGGGUGACACGACGGUGACACCGGGUGACACUGGAACCGGACAGGGGGACACCGGAGGUGGCAGUGCGGUGACCCCGGGUGACCCCAGGGCAGGACGGGCAGCGCCGGGUGACGUUUUGGUGACACCGGGUGGCACCGCCCUCACGUGACCCGAGGGAGCCACCCGCAGUCACGUGACCCAAGGGAAGCCACCCGCCCGUCACGUGACCGCCGCCCGGCGUGGGGGAGGGGCGCGCGCUGCUUCCCGCACGUCCGCAAUGGCCGGAGACGGCGGCGGCCAAUGGGAGAGCUCCUUGCGGGCGACGGCCAAUGGGAACGAGCGAUCGGCGGAGGGGGGCGGGGCGAAGGCGGGCAACGCCCCCCCGGCGGAGGGCGGAGCGCGGGAUCGCACGUGCGAGAGGGCGGGGCCGAGACUGGCGCGCGCCGAGCCCCGCCCCUACCCCCCCCCAACCACGACGGCCUCACGUGACCCCGCGCACGUGACCCCGCCCCUCCCUCGCUCCCUCCCCAACAACAGCGCCGAGGCGCGCCCUGAUUGGCCGGCGCCGCCGUGACGUGGCGCGCCGCCCGGAGAGCCGUUACCUUGGCAACGGGGAAAGCGGCGCGACGGGAGGGGGCGGGGCCGGGGGGUGAAGCCACGCCCCCGCUUUUUGUCUGACCACGCCCACAGGGUGGCCGGGAGGGGGCAGAGGUCAGAGGUCACUGCACCACGUGACACGCAGACGGGGUCGCGGCUACAGCGGGGCGCACGGACACACGGACACACGCCAUUGCACGCUCGCUCACACUCACAGCCUUGCACACUCACACACUGUUGCUCGAUCACACGCUCAUGCUCACACUCACACCAUUGCACACUCGUGCUCACACUCACAUCAUUGCACACUCACACUCAUGCUCACACUCACAGCAUUGCACACUCAUGCUCACACUCACACACUCAUGCCCGCACUCACAUCAUUGCACGCUCACUCACACUCACACACGCGCUCACACUCGCACCGUGACACACUCACAUGCUCGCACACACACACACACACACGUGGACACUCUCACCACUGCACACUCACACACAUGCCCACACUCACAUCAUUGCACUCACUCUGACACGCUCACAUCCCACUGCACUCAUGCUCACACUCACACACGCACACAUCAUUGCGCACACUCACACUGCACACUCAUGCUCACACUCACACUCACCCCAUCACACACUCAUGCUCACACAUGCUCACCCCAUUGCACACUCACGCUCACACUCUCCCCAUUGCACACUCACACUCUCCCCAUCACACACUCACGCUCACACUGA
rnacentral:lncRNA from 1 species